GGGUUGUGAGGUUAAGCGACUAAGCGUACACGGUGGAUGCCCUGGCAGUCAGAGGCGAUGAAGGGCGUGCUAAUCUGCGAUAAGCGCCGGUAAGGUGAUAUGAACCGUUAUAACCGGCGAUACCCGAAUGGGGAAACCCAGUGUGACUCGUCACACUAUCAUUAACUGAAUCCAUAGGUUAAUGAGGCGAACCGGGGGAACUGAAACAUCUAAGUACCCCGAGGAAAAGAAAUCAACCGAGAUUCCCCCAGUAGCGGCGAGCGAACGGGGAGGAGCCCAGAGCCUGAAUCAGCAUGUGUGUUAGUGGAAGCGUCUGGAAAGGCGCGCGAUACAGGGUGACAGCCCCGUACACAAAAGCGCAUGUGCUGUGAGCUCGAUGAGUAGGGCGGGACACGUGGUAUCCUGUCUGAAUAUGGGGGGACCAUCCUCCAAGGCUAAAUACUCCUGACUGACCGAUAGUGAACCAGUACCGUGAGGGAAAGGCGAAAAGAACCCCGGCGAGGGGAGUGAAAAAGAACCUGAAACCGUGUACGUACAAGCAGUGGGAGCCCCACCACCAAAGCAUUCUCUGGUGUUGAAGGCCCUGCAAAGCAGCAUCGCGGUGGCGGAGCGUCGUUUGCGACGCCCAACACACAAAACAAGCGGUGAAUGCUUUGGGGUGGGGUGACUGCGUACCUUUUGUAUAAUGGGUCAGCGACUUAUAUUCUGUAGCAAGGUUAACCGAAUAGGGGAGCCGGAGGGAAACCGAGUCUUAAUUGGGCGUUAAGUUGCAGGGUAUAGACCCGAAACCCGGUGAUCUAGCCAUGGGCAGGUUGAAGGUUGGGUAACACUAACUGGAGGACCGAACCGACUAAUGUUGAAAAAUUAGCGGAUGACCUGUGGCUGGGGGUGAAAGGCCAAUCAAACCGGGAGAUAGCUGGUUCUCCCCGAAAGCUAUUUAGGUAGCGCCUCGUGAAUUCAUCUCCGGGGGUAGAGCACUGUUUCGGCUAGGGGGCCAUCCCGGCUUACCAACCCGAUGCAAACUGCGAAUACCGGAGAAUGUUAUCACGGGAGACACACGGCGGGUGCUAACGUCCGUCGUGAAGAGGGAAACAACCCAGACCGCCAGCUAAGGUCCCAAAGUCAUGGUUAAGUGGGAAACGAUGUGGGAAGGCCCAGACAGCCAGGAUGUUGGCUUAGAAGCAGCCAUCAUUUAAAGAAAGCGUAAUAGCUCACUGGUCGAGUCGGCCUGCGCGGAAGAUGUAACGGGGCUAAACCAUGCACCGAAGCUGCGGCAGCGACGCUGAUGCGUUGUUGGGUAGGGGAGCGUUCUGUAAGCCUGCGAAGGUGACCUGUGAGGGUUGCUGGAGGUAUCAGAAGUGCGAAUGCUGACAUAAGUAACGAUAAAGCGGGUGAAAAGCCCGCUCGCCGGAAGACCAAGGGUUCCUGUCCAACGUUAAUCGGGGCAGGGUGAGUCGACCCCUAAGGCGAGGCCGAAAGGCGUAGUCGAUGGGAAACGGGUUAAUAUUCCCGUACUUGGUGUUACUGCGAAGGGGGGACGGAGAAGGCUAUGUUGGCCGGGCGACGGUUGUCCCGGUUUAAGCGUGUAGGUGUGUGUUCCAGGUAAAUCCGGUUCACUUUAACACUGAGGCGUGACGACGAGGCACUACGGUGCUGAAGCAACAAAUGCCCUGCUUCCAGGAAAAGCCUCUAAGCAUCAGGUAACACGAAAUCGUACCCCAAACCGACACAGGUGGUCAGGUAGAGAAUACCAAGGCGCUUGAGAGAACUCGGGUGAAGGAACUAGGCAAAAUGGUGCCGUAACUUCGGGAGAAGGCACGCUGACACGUAGGUGAAGUGAUUUACUCAUGGAGCUGAAGUCAGUCGAAGAUACCAGCUGGCUGCAACUGUUUAUUAAAAACACAGCACUGUGCAAACACGAAAGUGGACGUAUACGGUGUGACGCCUGCCCGGUGCCGGAAGGUUAAUUGAUGGGGUCAGCGCAAGCGAAGCUCCUGAUCGAAGCCCCGGUAAACGGCGGCCGUAACUAUAACGGUCCUAAGGUAGCGAAAUUCCUUGUCGGGUAAGUUCCGACCUGCACGAAUGGCGUAAUGAUGGCCAGGCUGUCUCCACCCGAGACUCAGUGAAAUUGAACUCGCUGUGAAGAUGCAGUGUACCCGCGGCAAGACGGAAAGACCCCGUGAACCUUUACUAUAGCUUGACACUGAACAUUGAGCCUUGAUGUGUAGGAUAGGUGGGAGGCUUUGAAGUGUGGACGCCAGUCUGCAUGGAGCCGACCUUGAAAUACCACCCUUUAAUGUUUGAUGUUCUAACGUGGACCCGUAAUCCGGGUUGCGGACAGUGUCUGGUGGGUAGUUUGACUGGGGCGGUCUCCUCCUAAAGAGUAACGGAGGAGCACGAAGGUUGGCUAAUCCUGGUCGGACAUCAGGAGGUUAGUGCAAUGGCAUAAGCCAGCUUGACUGCGAGCGUGACGGCGCGAGCAGGUGCGAAAGCAGGUCAUAGUGAUCCGGUGGUUCUGAAUGGAAGGGCCAUCGCUCAACGGAUAAAAGGUACUCCGGGGAUAACAGGCUGAUACCGCCCAAGAGUUCAUAUCGACGGCGGUGUUUGGCACCUCGAUGUCGGCUCAUCACAUCCUGGGGCUGAAGUAGGUCCCAAGGGUAUGGCUGUUCGCCAUUUAAAGUGGUACGCGAGCUGGGUUUAGAACGUCGUGAGACAGUUCGGUCCCUAUCUGCCGUGGGCGCUGGAGAACUGAGGGGGGCUGCUCCUAGUACGAGAGGACCGGAGUGGACGCAUCACUGGUGUUCGGGUUGUCAUGCCAAUGGCACUGCCCGGUAGCUAAAUGCGGAAGAGAUAAGUGCUGAAAGCAUCUAAGCACGAAACUUGCCCCGAGAUGAGUUCUCCCUGAGACUUAGAGUCUCCUGAAGGAACGUUGAAGACGACGACGUUGAUAGGCCGGGUGUGUAAGCGCAGCGAUGCGUUGAGCUAACCGGUACUAAUGAACCGUGAGGCUUAACCUUACAACGCCGAAG
rnacentral:rRNA from 1 species